UGGGGAAUAUUGGACAAUGGGCGAAAGCCUGAUCCAGCCAUGCCGCGUGUGUGAAGAAGGUCUUCGGAUUGUAAAGCACUUUAAGUUGGGAGGAAGGUCAGUAAGCGAAUACCUUGCUGUUUUGACGUUACCGACAGAAUAAGCACCGGCUAACUCUGUGCCAGCAGCCGCGGUAAUACAGAGGGUGCAAGCGUUAAUUGGAAUUACUGGGCGUAAAGCGUGCGUAGGCGGCUAAUUGAGUCGGAUGUGAAAUCCCCGAGCUUAACUUGGGAAUUGCAUUCGAUACUGGUUAGCUAGAGUGUGGGAGAGGAUGGUAGAAUUCCAGGUGUAGCGGUGAAAUGCGUAGAGAUCUGGAGGAAUACCGAUGGCGAAGGCAGCCAUCUGGCCUAACACUGACGCUGAGGUACGAAAGCAUGGGGAGCAAACAGG
rnacentral:rRNA from 1 species